rnacentral:rRNA from 1 species
GACGAACGCUGGCGGCGUGCUUAACACAUGCAAGUCGAACGGAAAGGCCCCUUUGGGGGUCCUCGAGUGGCGAACGGGUGAGUAACACGUGAGUAACCUGCCCUUGACUUCGGGAUAACUUCAGGAAACUGGGGCUAAUACCGGAUAGGAAUCCUUGCUGCAUGGUGGGGGUUGGAAAGCUUCGGCGGUUUUGGAUGGACUCGCGGCUUAUCAGCUUGUUGGUGGGGUAGUGGCUUACCAAGGCUUUGACGGGUAGCCGGCCUGAGAGGGCGACCGGCCACAUUGGGACUGAGAUACGGCCCAGACUCCUACGGGAGGCAGCAGUGGGGAAUAUUGCACAAUGGGCGGAAGCCUGAUGCAGCAACGCCGCGUGCGGGAUGACGGCCUUCGGGUUGGAAACCGCUUUCAGCAGGGGCGAAGCUUGUGGUGACGGUACCUGCAGAAGAAGCACCGGCUAACUACGUG